CGAGAUGAUGAUGAUGACGAUGAUGAUAGUCAAGUGGCCUACAUCGAUUUGCCAAGGUCCACAAGCUUCGUUCCAAAAUAAGCCCAUAGAAACGCAUUGGGCUUAUUUAGUACAGAUUUAGGCUAAAGUGAAACCUCUCACUUCGCUUCUUCUCCGUUUUAGAGCAACAGCAAUCAGCAAACAGUCGGUGGUUGGAUUUGAAUAACGUUUAUUGAAAAACUAUGGUUUGAGGCGAUCAACCAGUUAGCAAGUCGGACAUUUCCGAGUUUCCUAGUUCCGACUAGACCUUGAACGCGGCAUAAAUAAUGGACAAAAAUGUACUCUUGAAAAAAUGAUCAGUAUUUUUUGUAACGUGGUUCCAAUAAUGAAAAUGAAAGAUCUUUUAAAUUGAUCACCUGACAAUAGUUCAACAAAUAUCUACCUUCUUGAGGAAAAUAGACUCAUCAUCACUUAAUUUAGUAGUGAUGUUUGGCCUUUGGAGGUUUAGUUUAGAAGGUUUCGUCUUCUUUCAGGAGUGCUUUCGUAAAUUUGUUUAUUUUUAGAUUAGAUAUAUUAACACCAUGUUACAGUUGUAGGGUGCAAUAUUGCCUGGAUUAGAGGAAUUUGCACUUGCAUCUGCGACCGCAGUCGUCCCAGUGGCAGCUGCGUUAGACAAUAGGCGGCAGAGUAAAUAGUCAUGUUGGUAUCCCUCUGCCUGCUUGCUUGCGUCUCUAUUAAGUCUCUAUUAACAGACAAGCACCCCCGAUCAUCUGGAACCUGAGUUGCUGUUCUGUCGUGUAGCACUACUGAUUCAACUUUCAGAAAGGACAUUAGUACUGGUGAUAUUCUCACAACUGAUGAGUUUUCGGCUGAAGCUCACUAAACACGUUUCCAUCCAACCAUUUUAUCCAGAUGAAUUAUCUGACGCAUGAAAAAAGUCAUGACCGGGCUGAUGGAAACAUGAAAUUGAUUUACAAUUUAUAAAUGCCGAUGGAUAAUUUAUUCGUUCGACAUGGUAGGAUCUUUAUGUGUCGGUAGAAUUAAUUAUGCGAGUAAUGGCGGUGGAAACGCCUUUAUGCGCAAAUAUUGAAAAACAUAAUACUCAUCAUUAGAAGCAAACUUGGAGUCACGCGACGAUAUGUUGUGUGAUCCUACCACUGCGACUUGGAAAAACAGGCAGUUUAUUAGGCUACAGGUGAAAUAAAUGAUGAUGAACUUCACAGGGUGGGGAAUGUGCAAGAGGACCUGAGCCCUAGGACCAUGCCUCAGGACUACCUGGCCUGAUGACUCCUUGCUGUCCCCAGUCCACCUGGCCGUGCUGCUGCUCCAGUUUCAACUGUUCUGCCUGCGGCCAUGGAACCCUGACCUGGCCGCAGGCAGACGUCCUACCUGUCCCAGACCUGCUGUUUUCAACUCUCUAGAGACAGCAGGAGCGGUAGAGAUACUCUGAAUGAUUGGCUAUGAAAAGCCAUCUGACAUUUACUCCUGAGGUGCUGACCUGUUGCACCCUCGAUAACCACUGUGAUUAUUAUUAUUUGACCCUGCUGGUCAUCUAUGAACAUUUGAACAUCUUGGCCAUGUUCUGUUAUAAUCUCCACCCGACACAGCCAGAAGAGGACUUGCCACCCCUCAUAGGUUUUAGGCUGGGUUUUUCCUAGCCACCGUGCUUCUACACCUGCAUUGCUUGCUGCUUGGGGAUUUAGGCUGGGUUUCUGUACAUAACUUUGAGAUAUCAGCUGAUGUAAGAUGGGCUUUAUAAAUAAAUUUGAUUUGAUUUGGUGGGUUUGGCGUCGAAAGGAUGUGAGAAGCAGAAAAUAACCCCAAGCCUACUGUAAAAUAUGGUGGUGGAUCUUUUGGACCAGACUGUAGGUUGUGUCCUUCAGAGUUGUAAUCAGUGAGGGGAAGGAAGGUUACUGUUGUAGUUUAUUUAGUUGGUAAAUGCUCAUCCCCACCCGGCACAGACAGAAGAGGACCCUCAGAACCUGGUUCCUCUCUAGGUUUCUUCCUAGGUUCCUGCUAUUCUAGGGAGUUUUUCCUAGCCACUGUGCUUCUACAUAUGCAUUGCUUGCUCUUUGGGGUUUUAGGCUGGGUUUCUGUACAGCUUUAUAAAUACAUCUGAUUGAUUUGAUUGAUAUAAUGUGAGGCCAUUGAUAUUUCUGUUUUUAUUUUCAUUGUUUUUUCCUGUGAAGCGCAUUGCAUUGCAUUCAUGUCUGAAAUGUUGUAUAUAAAUCAAGCUUAUUUUUGAUUUGAUACUGAUGGAAUGCCACGAUAGUGCAAACAGUUCCCUUUUACUUAUCACAAACUAUGCUUAUUAGCUAUUUUAUGUAUGAUGAACAUUCAUGUUUUUGAUUAAUUAACUGUUUUACUGUUUUGAGUAGGAUGUCUGCUCACGGUACAGUUGUUUGUAUAUCCUUUUCAAACCAAUAUUAAAGCAUUAGAUGUCA